UUUCUUUCUUUCUUUCUCAAAGAAUACUAGAAAUAACCACAUGAGACUUAUAACCCUGCUACUUACUACAAAGAUUUUAAGGUCCCUGACUACUUGUAUUGAAGUUUCACAUCAAGAAAUUAUGCAAAAUAAUUAGGAGAUUGAAUCCAAUUGAAAUUGAAUUCCCUGAGCUAUGUGUUGUGUUAUUUACUAUUGCUGGAGUGAUACAUUUGCUUGAGAACACAGGAAUAGUUUUAUGCUUUCUAGAUGAUUUUCAAAGAGCAACGUACCAAGUACAUUAUGGAAAAAUGUGAUACUCUAUGUAUCUCCCAGAAUACACAGAACAAUGAUAACUCUAGUAUGAAGACCAUGACCAGCCCUAGUCUUCAGGUUAAAGCAAACAUGAGGAAUGUUACCAUGUGUAGUGCAGGAUGUUCUGACAAGCAAUUUUAACUGUUGUAGUACUAACAAGAAUGCACUAUCAAAACAGUAUUUAUUGACUUGUCAUUUUGACUACAGGGAUAUAUUUUCUUGUGUUGCUUUUUUUGAUCACACCUCAGUAGGGAUCAGGUCUGAGCUAUCUCCGAUUCUGAAGCGGAAUGCAAUUCCACUUGUAAUUCCCAUGACAAUUUGUUUUGUGAAAUCCCUGGAUCAGUUCAAACUCCUGCUGCUUUGUGACCAGUGACAAAAAUGGUGAUCAGGAGGGCUUUUCAAAGUACUGUUUAAUAGCGGGACCACAGUCCACAAAGUGUAGCUUAUAACAGAUGAAAUAACUAUGUUGAUAAUUAUUUUACUUGUGUCUUUCCCCCUUUUCUUGGAACCUAGGAAUUUUGAUUUCUUUAUAAAAAAUAAGGCAUCUUAUUUAUCUGAGUGCAAUUUCUGAAGAGUAAGUGCUUUUAGAGUUUUAAAACAGUUUCAGAUCCUUUGUCCUUCCCAUUUUCUCUAUGACUUUCCUCUUUGACGUGGGCUGGUGAGUUCAACAAGAGGUCAAUCCUUGUAUUGCCUCUCAAGUGUUGCUAGAUAGGUAGUUAUCUGAAGGUGUUGCAUUCUUUUCUACUCGUGGGAACUAAUCCUUUGUUAAAUUAAUGCCAUAUAUUUAGACUAACAUACAGUUAUUCAUAUAAUACAGUGUAUUUAAUGUAUUUAAUACUCAUUUACUAGUACAGAAUGACUCUUGAAUCACUAUGUUUACUUGCUGCUAUUUACAACCACCGGCAGCUCUUGUUAUUGUAGCUUAGGUUUUAAAACCCAGAUCUGUAUUCUUUCUCAAGAGAUUGCUGCCUCCCAGCAAUAUUAGCAGGAGACAACAUGUGUAUUGUCUUAGCUCAGAUUCUCUGUUACUAACAGUUUCUCCUGACUCUUGUGAUGAUGGUAGGCUGUGGCAAGGAACGUGGGGAGGGUAUUAACUUCUACAGUGUAUUUGGAUAGAAUUUAUCUCUUAAUCCCCAAUCACCAGAAGUCUUGUACAGGACAAAAUAAAUAUUUCUGUGUCCUAUUCCAGACCUAACAGUAAGACUGGUCUCUACUGUGAGUGCUGUGUUAUUCUUUCUUAUUUAAGAGACAUAGACACUAUUUAAAAAGAAAUAAAUCAGCUUCCCUCUGAAGUUUUCCAACCUAUAUUUUAUUUUAGAUUCUCUUAUUUUGGCCAUCUUCUGUAACUAAGGCAACAUUCAAGGUCCAGGUGAAAGUAGGUCCUUUUACAAAUUACUGAAGAUGAUGAAUAUAAACAGGUUUCUUUUUUCUUGAAAUUGCUAGCUGAAGAACUUCCAAUACAAGUAGAAAUUUGCAAAAAGAUGCUCAAGAGUGGCAUUAUCCUGGGAAGAAAGUGACUGUGAUUAGGUAAAUGUGUACCUAUGGCAGCAGUCUUUUAAUGACAUGAGCACUGCAAGAUACAACUGCAAUUGCUCACAGUAACAUUGCGUACGGUUAUGAUGGAUAUGUUUGCCAGCAUUUAGUUCUGGUAAACUUUAGCAACACAGUAAUAUAAACUAUGGCAGGCACCCCCAAACUGCUAAUGCUUUGCAGCCUCCUAAGGUCAGCAGAACCCUGUGUUGGGGUUAGAAUAGAAUAGAAUAGAAUAGAAUAGAAUAGAAUAGAAUAGAAUAGAAUAGAAUAUGUCUUCUCAAAUCUCUGUGACUGAGGGUGUUUUGCGUUCCCUCAUUCUGUACUGCCCACUUGUUUGUUUUCUCUGGAGAGUUUCCUCCAGGACUGUUACAGCUUUGCACUGUUACGCUGCGUUUGCUUCUUUUCCCAUUUGCACUUUUUCCUUUUCCUUUUUUUUUUUUUUUCCCUUUCUGUUUUUUCCUUAUUUGUGGGCAAACCAAGAAAGAUGCUCCACUUCCACGCAGCCCAAGGAACAAAGCUGUCCUGCUUGUUAAUGUAGUUAUGUAUCAAAAUAAUCAGUAGUUGAGAACUGACUGGAAUCAAACCAUAACACGGAAUCAGAUUAAGUGAUUUGCAUGAUAGAAUUGCUCAUAAGGUAAUUUUGUCGUCUUCCCUGCCCCUCAAUGGAAUGUUAGAGAAAAUUUUUAAUUGCUCAUAAAACAGAGAAAGUUAGAAUUUUACUAAGUGCUUUAUCAUUUCAGUUAUUCCUUGCCAUCUUUUCUUCAGGUAGUAGCUCAAAUUUCAUUCGAAGCUGCUUUUCCUUCAACUUAAAUAAUCUUUUAAGAUCCUUGUAAAAAUGGAAAGCACACAUGCUUGAACUGUUUUUCUUCUAUUAAAGCACACAUUGCACAAAUGAAACUGACUUUCAGAUUAUGAUUUGCACAGUACCAUAUAACAUAAAUGCAUCUGAAAUUUAUAGCACUCCACAAACUCUUUAAUACUCAGUGCUUAAACUGCUGUGUUUCCACAGCAAGCUGUAAUAACUAAAGAUUUAAAACAGAACCUGAUAUCUGUACAGUUAUUAGCAUGAUUUUCUCAACAUUUUACUACCUGCUUGUAAACACGAGUUUAUUGAAACGUAAUAGUAUGUUCAUGGUCAUAUAAAUAUAAAAUGUGAAAGAGAACAGGUUGUUUUCUUUGCCAGAGGUACUGCAGAUGUAAAAGAAAGAAAUCUAGACCUUGAACUUAAAAAUCCAAUUUUAUGUGCAGAAAAAGUAAAUCCCUUCCUACCACGCUAUUUUGACCUUGUGUAGCUGUUCAGGCUUUUUAUCAAACAGCCAGAGGAUGUUGCUGGUCUGGAAAUCUUUUUUGUUUGGCUUUAGUUUUUAAGCUCUGCUAUUCCCUCUGAAGAAAUUUUGUUCCCCCCUCCACCCUUCCCGUUUCAUAUCUUGUAAAAAAAAUAAAAGAACACUUCAACAUAUAACGUGAUUUUUUCCAAUGGGUCUUGUGCCAAGAAAAGCAAAGGAUUUAAUUUCAUUACAUUAUGCAGAUUAAAAAUUAAAAAAAAAAAAAAUCAGUAAAUUGUUAUGAUCUGAUAUACUUAUUUUCCAAGAUAUGUAUCUUUUCUUAUUUAGGUAUAUUUUAAGAUUUCUCCUUUUACUCUUUGUUGCCUUUUGUAAUUAACGAAGGAGAAGAACUUUGCAAAUAUAUAAAUCAAACAAAUAAAGGAAUAUUUCUAGAUAGACAGAAAAGCUCUUAAGGUACUGAAGCAUGUGAAAUUAACCUGUUGUUUUUUCUUGUGGUUAUCCAGUAAAUUUAAAACUUAGAGUAGAAUGUUAGGGACCAACUUUCAUCCACCUAGUCCAGAACAUCUCAGCUGAACUGUCAAAAGAUAAACCACAGCAGUCUUCAUAUAUUUUUGUAGUUGUUAAAUAAAUCUUAUCUUGGCCAUCAGGAAGGAAGAAGUCAAAGAAUGUACAGUUGUUUUGAGUAGGAGUAUGUCAUACCUUAGUCUGCCAUCUCUGCAAAAUUAGGCUUUUUUUUUUUUUUUUUUUUUUGGUCCGGACCUUCACUUUCUUAAAUUUAUCUUACAUUUUGAGACUUAAAGCUAUGUCUUCAAGUGUUGCCUCUGUAUUCCAUGGCAAGCAAUUUCCUGAUCUCCAGCUGCUGUUCUUUGGCUAGAUCCCAUGUUUCAGAGCCCCUUCACAGAUGGUUUUCUUGCUUUGUGUGCUGAGAAGCAGAGCCAGGCUCUAACUGACAAAGAAUCCUUCCCAGUUGCUCAGUCUAUAUCAAUUUUACUCUAGAAAUAGAAAUAUCUAAUUAAAUUUGGUACAUAGCUAACAUCAAACAUUGCACAGCUGCUUCACAUAUAUAUUGUUAUGCUGGAAUUUUAGACAUCUGACCAAUACUAUUUAUUUGAUGGUACUUUAGAUCUAGACAUUAGCUUAUCACAGAUAUGUCCAAGAAGGCAUCUCUCAUUUCUGAUAUCUUCUGAAAAGUUUAGCAGCACAGAGGUGCUGUGAAUAAUAUGGAUGUCUUGAACCUAGGUGGAGAAAUAAAAGACAGAAGAGUAAAAAAUAGAAAAUUACCAUUAUGAGACAGAAUGUAAGAAGACCUACUAGAUUAGUCACUACUGCCAUAGUGUUUGUUUGUUAAUGUUUUGUAGAAGCAAACUAAAUUUGAGAAAAUUCUUAUUGGUCCUUUUUUUUUUUUUUUUAAUAUAUUUUAGUCUACAGUACUAAAACCAGGCAGUACAAUAAUAAUAAUAAAGAAAUCUAGAAAACAACAAACAAUUUGCUAUGGAAAAACUGUGACACUUUUAGCAUCAUACAUCUGAACUACUCUUUAAAACUGCAACUAUUUUUCUGUAUGAGUAGGCAUUUUCUGCCUUCACAGGUAGAACAGACAAAUAACAAAGGGAGUAUCUGCUGCUACUCUAUUUUACUGCUAGCCUUGAAAACAUUCACUUGUAUACAACAAGGAAGAACAGAGUAGUUCUCUGAUUAAAAUGGUAGGUAUUUUUUGCUCAAGUCAGAGUAAAUAUAUCCAAAGUUAUGAAUUUCUACUGAACAUAGACAUAGAGGAACCGUAAAACUACAGACUGCAACAAAGAUGCACAGCACUGCAUCCACCAGUCAAAAAUAUUGGCAGCCUAUUUACAACCUUUACAGUGACAUUUUAAAGAUCCUAACAAGAUCUGAAAGGGCUUUAAUAAUUACGUUAUUUUCUUUCCAGCGGAGAAUAGAACUAUGUGAUGACAAAGUUUAAAAUAACUAUGAAAUGGCAGGAAGUAACGUUUACACAUUCAUUACCCUUUCUUGCCUAAAUACAUCAGUUGAUAUAUAUGUAUUCUAUUAACAUGCUGAUAAAUAUUCUUCACAGAUGUCCAUUCACUGUAUUCUAGCACAUUAUAGGAUCUCCUAUAUGUGAGAAGAGUUUAAAAGUUUGCAGAGGGGCUUUAAAGAGAAUCUAAGUUGCCCUCCGAAACUCUGAAGUUCAUUUCCUUUCACUCUGAGAUUCCUAACUUGCAAAUGUACAGCCAGUACUUUAUUGUUUUUCACAGAGACUGCUUUUGCUCCAAUAGAAUGGCAAGACCAGUGACUGAAGGUCUGAUAACUGCAGCAGAUGUUUUUACUUGGGGAGACUGUUCCAAACCUUAGCUCUGACUGCUCCAAGCAGUCUGAUAUCACAAUCAUAAACUUACCACAUAUUUAUAAAUAUUUUUUCUUCUUCUUUAUUGUGAUACUUAAUUAUUUGACUGAAGGAACUAGAAUUUCAAGGAAUGUACCCUGAAGUCUGAGAUUUGUUUUUCACCUUCUCAGAAGUGGGGUAAAUAAAGCCAUUGUCUAGCUAAAAUUAGCUAAUCUGCACCAUUAAAUUAAAAUUACUGAUAUUUCAAUAGUUUAUUAUGCAUAUAUAUUUAGAGCAGAAAAGUGUAAGAAAGGAUUUCAUUAACAUAAAUGACAAGAGUGCAUGUGAAAUUUGAGCCUACAGUCUAGGUAAAGACAAUACUGCAGACAGAAAUCUCUUUUGAAUCUGUCUGUGUAGGAUUAAAGUUUAAAAACCUCUCAUAAUUACCUUCAAUGUGGAUUCAUUUUUCAUAUCAGCAUCUUAUUUUAAAGUAUACAGGCAUGCAUAAGAAAUAAAUCCAAGGAAAAUAUGCAAAAUAUGUAUUAUUAUGGCUCAUUAGUGCUUGAUGCACAUUCCAAGUUUAGAAGAUACCAUCAUCCUGCUCCUGGGGGACUUCAGCUGAAAAAGAGAGAGAAACAGAGCAAUCUGUGAAAGAGUCAGCAUCUCCCAGUCAACUGCUAUGUGCUGUGAAACUGUGAGCUUAAAGCUUUUCAAACAAGAAAAGUUGUGCUUCAUGCUACUUUUAUAUAUGUGUAAAAUUUGCACAAACUGCCAAGACCGUAAGGAUCAUCUUGUACCAUUUGUUCCUUCACAGUCCAUAUAAAAUGUUUCAGUCCUGAUACAGAAAGUGUAUAUACCAGUUCUGCACAAUCUAGCUGAUUACUUAGAAUGAGAAGCAAUGGAAAACUGGACAUAGCAGAUUCUCCUUUCUUCAAAGUCCAGCUUCACACCUGAGUCUUGUCAUCAAGCACAUAAGUAACCAGCAUAUUAUUUGCCAGACAAAUUCACCUUCAUCUGUUUGACUAAAAUGACAGAAUCCAUUAAAAGAUGAGGUUUAACACUGCAGUAGCAUGUAUACUGGUAUAAAAAAUUAUUUGAUUUUAUCUUUCUAGUCUUGAUACAAUUGUUUUGAGAAGCAUGCUGUACUACUGCAUUAAUAGUGUAUGAUUUUUAGUGUUUCAAGUUCAAGGCUUCUCUUGACCUUGCUGCUAUGUUUAUACAGUCUAGAUGGAACAAAGUUGUGUAAAAUAAAAUUAAUUAUCUCCUUUUUACUGAGCUGCAACAGCACUCCAAAUUAUGUCUGCCUGGAUAGGAAUAUAACUUACCACAGAAAUACUAUGUGCUUAAUCUGCCUAUUUAUCUAUAUAAGAUACAAAAUCAUUCAACAAGAUCAACAUUACAAAAUCGCUGGAUAUCUCUUAUGUACUUAUCGUAUUACAUAUUUUUUUCAGAAAGUCCUCAUUAUCUUCCCGCUAAUACUUUUCUGAAGGCUGAAAGAAAAAGAGUAAACAUACCAUAUGCCUUUUGAUUCUUUGUGGGUAGAUUAGAAAAAGCAACAACAAAAACUCACACCAACUAAAACAAAACAAAACUUACGAUCUUUUGAACUUGAAACAACAUAACCUAAAAGCUUUUUAUUUUUGGCUGGAAUCCCAGACUCCAAAUGUAAUUCAAAGAAUACAUUUUUGUAAUACAUGGAUACUCCACGUCUUUGUAUAAUUAUUAUAAUUGUAAUUAUAAUAAUAAUUAUUUUUAUAUUCUCUAUUAUAUUAUAUUAUAUUAUAUAAAUAUAUAUAUUUAUAUAUAUUUAUAUUAUAUUAUUUUAUAUAAAUAUAUAUAAUAUUUAUAUAUUGGUACAUCUCAUGAACUUUCUUAUCUUGAACUUUGACCAUUUAAUUAUAGAGAUAAGUAUUUUGGCCAUUUAAAAUCUCACUGUGAAAGAGUUUUUCAUCAUAGAAUCAUUGUCAUAGAAUGGAUUGAGUUUGAAAAGACCUCUAAGAUCAUCUAGUUGCAGCUCCCCUGCUAUAGGAGAGGAACAGCCUAGGUCCCUCUAGACCAGGUCGUUCAAAGCCCCAUCCAGCCUGGCUUAGAGCGCUUCCAGGGAGGGGGCAUUCGCAACCUCUCUAGGUAUCCUGUUCCAGUGUCUCACCACCCCUACAGUAAAGAACUUCCUCCUAAUAUCUAGUCUAAAUCUACUCUUGUCCAAUUCAAACCUUUUUCUCCUUGUCCUGUUGCUACAUGCCCUUAUAAAAAGUCCCUCCCCACCUUUCCUACAGGCUCCCUUCAGGUACUGGAAGGCAGCUAUAUGGUCCCCCCAGAGCCUUCUCUUCUUCAAGCUGAAGAGUCCCAGCUCUCUCAAAAGAGGAAAUAUGAAGUGGAACAAAAGAAAUUUUCUUCCAUUGCUAAAAGAAACUAAAAAAACAUUACAUUAAAAAAGUGGUACUGUAUUAUGAGAGAUAAGAGAGAUGGAUAUUUGAGAGAUCCACAGUUAGAAAUAUUAAAAAUUAGCACUAAGGAAACAACUUAGACCAAGUUUACAUGAGUAGAGCUGUCAAACCAACAUUAAGAUUUUCAUUUUCAUUUCUCUUUGUGACUUAUUAUCAGCAUCUGAUUCUUGGUUGGUUUUCUUAUUUUUAUUUUUUAAAUCAUAGUUUAAGGGUAAGGGCAAAUUCUUUUGGCAAUAAAUAAUGUGGAUAAAUAAUGGGUAUAUGUGGUAGAAUAUAUAUUAAAAAAUUAGAAAAUCCUUGUGAUCUAGCAUUUUAGUAAGUGCAAAUCAUGGAAAUAUUUAGCUUCAUCUAACUUUAAUCCAAUGAGAAAAGCAAGACAUUGAUUUACUGCAAAUUGUUUUAGUACUACUGCAUAAUAAAGCCUUGUAAAAUUGUCAUGAAAAUUUACUGGCUUAGAUGCAAAUGUCUACUUAUUUACUUUUUUAAACUGUAAUCAAUCAUCAUGGUGAAUUAAUAACUUUUAUUCUCUGUAUUCCAAAAUAUUAUUCAUUUCAGCAGGUUAAACAAGGAAAAAAAAAAUCCAGAUGCUAUAAUAUAAAUACAUACUUCUACACUCUUAACUUUGCAAAUAAAUUUUAUUUUGUAGCUCUAUAGUUUGUUCAUGUGUUGAAUAUGUAAUAAGCAUUAAAACUAAAAUAGAGCUGAAAUACAGUGCAUGAGGAUUACAUGAAAUGAUUUUUUUUGAGGGGGAAGGGAGAGUGUUACAGCUGUGAGUAAUAGUAAUAUUAACUGCAUGGAGGGCCUAAGAAGUAUGCUUUACAUGAAGGGGAGAAAUGUAUCUAGAUAAAUAUCUAAAUAACUGUACAGCUUUAACAACAAUUUUUAGUAUUUUUUCAUGAAUAAUAAUUUUUAUAUUUAAGGUCAUAAUAUAUCAGUGUUGCUGUGCUAAUGAUCUGUCAGAUCUCUCUGUAUUCACAUUUGAGUGCAAGUCCUAUGACUAGGAGAUAUAUCCUGAUGGAUUUUGCAGACAAGAGGACUGCUGAUUAUUUAAGUGGUCUAACAAUAUAUCUGUCGUGCACACUAUGGACUAAUAUAGUAGAGAUAUUAUAUGCUAAUAGCAUAAUAAGUUGGCUUUGAGAAGGCUGAAACACUUAUACAGCUCAGCACCAUAGCUUAGGUUUUAGGAACAGACUAAGUUUCUGGAUAAAUUGUUUCACUAGCCUCUUUCUGGGAUUUUUAUGUUUCUGUUGCAGUCUUGCAUCAUAUCUUUGAUAACAAUAUGUAGAUAUUUAAAAUAAAUGAUAUCAAAUCCUACUGAAAUUCUUGGAAGAAGCCCAUAUUUUGAAAUUUACUGUGUUACUGUAAAUCACUAAACCUGAUUUGGAAUGAGAAAUUUGGCAUAUUUUAUAUAUUUAUUUGUAUAUCAACACAAUGAUUUGAGGUAGAUGUAGAGGCAACAGUUUGUAGUGAUAGACAGUACAAUUUGGAGCAGAGAAUGUUUCUGAUUGUGAAGCCCAGUCCUCCAUCAUUCACUUGUGUGAUCAAACUCUAUGGUGUCCUAGACCUGGGGUAGCACAUAGCAAAGAAGAUUGAAAAGGUAUGUGUUGUCCUAAAAAUUCAAGACUUUUUUACACUGAGACAUAGAAAAUGUGUUCUCUUUGACACAUAGAAAAUUGGUUCUCUAUUCAUACCAUCUUUGCCUUAUUCUGCAGUGAUUGUAUUAGCUUUAAUGAAACCAAACACAUUAUGAACUAAUUGUAUAGACACUGUCUGAAAUUAAAAUGUGCUCAUUCAAGAGAGAGUGUAGCUAUAUAUAUUAAAAAUAUAUAUUAAAUAAAAGGUUUUAAAAAAAAAAUCCAGUUUUUUUUUUUUCCAGCUAGAUGUAAUGACUUUCCAUAUGUUAGCAAACUGCUACUUUGGCAUUUCUUUGGCUGAAUGAAGGAAAUCAGAUUCAACUACAUUAUUGAAAUCAUUCCAUAUAUCACUAGAUUGAAUGGAAAAAAUCUGGUUUUAUGCCAAACAAAAAAAUUUUGAUGAAUUUAUCUUUUGAUGAUGUAGAACUGGUUGACAUGUCCAAGAGGGAUUGUGAUGCAGAUAGAUUCAUGCCAACGUGGCAAUAAGAUGAAUGAGGAACUUAAUUUUUUUAGAGAGAGGGCUAACAGCAAGGAAACUGAGCUGGAACCAACAGAAGGACAAGAUUCAACAAAUACUCAGUGGCCCUUGAGUUCAAGAGAAGUUUCAGAUUUGUUUAAAUUACCAGUCAAAGUCAAGUCAAGUCAAAUGUUCUGUAAGGCCACAAAGCUAGAGCAUCAAUAAAGAUGGAGGAAAAACCAAACGAGAAACACACUUAAUACAUUUUUUUGCACAGCAAUAAGCUUUUUUUUUUUUUUCUCUUUUCCUCACCAAGUAAAAGUCAGUGAUUAAGGACGCAUGUAUGUAAGUGUGAAAAGCACGCUUCAUGAAAGCAAUUGCAUCUGAUAAAGGAAAGAAUAUUUUUGCACAUUUAGGUGAAUGAUGCCAGAAGUGGAGAUUAACAUUACAUUUGGCUUUAUUCUAUCAUUUUCUUUUUGACAGCUCUGAUUUUAAUAGAGGACUUGAGUUACGCAAGAGUGAGGAGGAGAUCAACUAUCAUUAGCAUCAUUCUAGUGACACCAGCUGAAGAGAAUAACAAACACCUUUCUACUUAGCAGGGGAAAGUAAACGUAACUGCAUUGAGAUUUGAAUGUCUGUUAACAGCUUGUCCAGUGGCUGAGAUUAGUCUUGUCUCACACAGCUUGAUGUGUCUCACUCAUGUAGUGUUCUGCUUAAUAUUAAGCUCACUGUUUAUGAAGAAAAGAAAAUCAAAGAUCUACAAUAAAUCAGACUGACCUACCAUAUACUAUGUUGAUGCUUGAUUGUAGAUAGAAUUUAUUAUUUCCUUCCUCUAGUAUCAACACACAUGAUGAACUCUCAACAGUUCUGGCUUUUAAACCUAAAAAUUAAUGCUUGCUUUUGUUCUGGACUUCUCAGUGUGUGUGUGUUUUUUUUUUUCCCCCCAAUAUAAAUCUGUAACUUGUCUGCAUUUUUCCUAGCAAAACAGCUGCCAAAUAAUCCUCUGCUACAGUGGGAAGUAUUGCAAUUCAUUCCACAGAAGACUUAAACUCUUCCAAAUUUCCCAUUAAAAAAAAUAAUAUAUAUAUAUAGAAUGAUACCAGAUUUUCCAACCAGUAUAGAUCACCUACACAGACCGUUUGGAUUAGUUUCUUUUAAAAUUUAGUCCCUAAAAUGCUUUAAAAAUAAAAACCUUUCUGCCUAGACAAACUGAGCUAGAAAUACUAUUUCUGGACUCCCAUGGUUAGGAUUCAGCUUAGUUUCUUUGUCCUGCUCCUUUUUCAUGUGUGACUGCAGGACAGUGUCGCUGUCCUUUCACUUUUGUUAACUAUGUUAACUCAGGAUAGUGUAUGGCCUGUUUUUCAUCCCAACUUUGAGUAUGAGUCACUGUAGACUAGGACAUAGUUGAGUGACACUGAUUUGCAUACAACAGUGUUGUAUACUUCAAAAAUG
ensembl:lncRNA